UGAUAAUGGUAAUAAAAGCGUGCAGGAUUUGUCUGGCGAGGCGCUGGGCUGUUGUGGUUCCCCGCAUGCUGUGUUACGAGCCUGAUGGCGCAGGGCGGCUGCCGGGGGGACACUAAUCUGCCUGUGAUCCGCUUAAACGCGGCGCCAUGUGCGCGUCGGCUUUGAAUGGGCUGUGCCGACGCGGUUGCUUCGAGCUCCGGUAGAAACGCCAUGGCCGACGGACGGCUCGCUGGUGCGAACACCCCGCCUUCUUCAGAGCCCGGCGGAGGACAUCACGGCUGGACUCACGGGGACCGAGUCGCGUCUGGAACCGCGGGCGAGCGGCCGGGCUGUCGGGCGACCUCCGCGACCUUUCAGGCGCUGCUCGCAUCUUCGUGGACGUCCGCGAAGUUACACCGAUCGAUAUUUGAAACCAGGAUUGGCCUUUCGUCUCGGUUUUAUACAGAACCGAGCAGGACCGAGAACUCCCAACUAAAGUUGCCAUUUACACACCACUUACCUCAGGGGGAAUUCUACACGAAUCCUCCGCUGCGGUUACAACUCGGCUCGAAUGUAGAACCCAAGUGGAGAUGCGCAGGUCAGGUCGAGCCUGAGAGAGAAGCUCCUCAAAGCGCAGGGCCACCAGAACUCUGCGUUUGGUCCCACGGCGGUGGAUUCGGCGCACAUGGGACCUCACACAUGCUGCGUGGAAGGAUGGAGAGCUUGGCUCAGGAAGCUGAAGAGCGGGUUUCUGGGGCCUUUAGGUCGGGCCUUGCACAGGGAUGCUUUUCAUGUGCAAACCAGUCAGAAGCUGCAGCUCAUCGUCGCCGCUCUCCAGAAGAAGGAAAGAACGCAGAACGUCGUUUUGACGCGGGAAAUGGAGAUCCAUCUCAGGAGGACGGUCUUGCAGAUGUUGAGAAGGAAAAGCGUCCCAAAGGCCAUGAGAUUUACAGCCCCUGCCCUGCUGUGGAAACAGAGGAGAGGUUUAUGGCACUGUACAGGUUCCAUUUGCUGAUGCGAUGCCUCAGAACCUGGGUGCAGCAGCACAGACGCCUGAGAGCCACUCGUCUCUGGCACAGGAGGAGGGUGCUGAGCAGGGUGCUAUUUGCCAUGCGGUGGGCAGCUGUGGGGUGUCACAAACAAGCUACACUGCUGCUUGCUCGAUCUUUCCAUCAUUGGAAAGUCCGUGUUAAGAGCAGGCAAGACCUGUGCACCAUCGCUGAUCGUUGCAGAGACGAGAAUGUGGAGGCACUGAGAUGGAGACUGACCCCACGGGGUCACACUGUGGUUGUGAGGACGGCCUACUGUGCCUGGAGGAGACACGCCCAGGGAAAACAGCUCUGCCGGGUGGCUCUUAUACACUGCCACAUGAACCUGCUCUGUAAGCACUGGCUGCAGUGGAGGAGGGCAUGUGUGAGGCAGCAGCAGUGGCAGAGGGUGGAGCUGCAAUCUACACAGCACCGUGAGAGACUGCUACAACUGUGGGACCUGACUGACUGGAGACCAGCAUGCAGAAGACAGCACCAAGCCUCACAAAAGCACAAAUAUAGGAUGAGCAUGCUGGAGGGUGCAUGGCAUGAGUGGGAUGCGCAUGUGGAGCGCAGGAGGUGGGGGCGUCUGAAGGAGGCACAGGAGAGCGCUGACCUCUAUGGGAGGGGAACGCUGCUCCACCACCCCCUGCUGUGGAGAGAAAGCGUGGACAGGCGGCAGGUGGAGGGAGACCAACAGAGGAACAUUGUCAGAAAGGCUAUGAAUCGCUGGCAUCAUUUCUCCCAUCUACGAGUUGUGGAGCGCUUAGGCUCCAGCAUUGAGCAGGUGUUCAGAAGGAGGAGGCUGUUGGCGACGUUUGGGAGGUGGUGUGAGCUGAGGACACGGGCCCAGGUUGAACGGAGACUAGUGGAGGAUGUGUGCCUCCUGCGGAAGGGGAAGAUGUUGUGGGCCGCAUUUGGGCUGUGGCGCCGAGUCCUUCGGGUCAAGCGCGGAGCAGUUUGUCUCAGGGAGAAGAUCUGCCUCUCCAAGCUCUCUCACUGUGUGAGGGGAUGGAGGUGCGUGGUGGAGAGAAGGGCUGCCUUGCUGCACUGGUGCCGCAGAAGGGAGGGCACUACAGCGAGGGCCACCCUGCAGAUCUGGAGAAAAGCCUUAGUGCUCCGCUCCCAACAUAAACGCUCCCUGCGGUUCUUCCUGCGGUCCAGACGGCCUGCUCUCCUGCAUGGCGGAAACGUGCAGGGAUGGAGAGGAGAUUUGCUCUCUGCCAGGUUCAGGGCUCAGGCUUCACUGGAUGAGCUGUGCGACGUGAUUCUUCUGCAGAAAGCGUUGCACACCUGGAGAAAACAGACACUGAACAUACGCAAGGCCAGACUCUGUUCUGUAGCACAUGAGCAGGAGAGACUGCGGGCUGCGCUGGUGUGCUGGCACACACUGGCACAUGCUGCUCAGACUGAUAGGAUUCUCAGGUUCAGGUGCAGACUAGCACAGCUGUCUUCCUCCUCCUCUUCCUCUGCUUUGCACUGCUCAUCAUCCCUCGCUGUGUCUCAGGAGAAAACAGUUGGAGCCACCCAGCAGUCCUGGUCCGACGGCUCCCAUCGGAGAGUGCAAGAUUGCCCCCUUCUGGUCUCCUCACCCCUUAACCAUCCUUUAGCCAAUGUCUGUGUUGCCAAUGAAGCCACUGGAGUCCUAUGUGUGCGACACAACUCUGAACAUGCUGAUUCUCCGAGACUAAAGGCCGUGGCAGUCAGAGCCCUGGCGAGGAUGAUGAGGCCGACCCUCAGUACAACCUUCUCCAGGUGGAGGAGGUUAGUGAAUGAGUGCAGAGAGAUGAACUGUCAGGCCGAGAUUCACAGGGAUGUCCGGACACGCACACGUCUCAGAGUUGUCUUCUUGGUGUGGCGCAGAGAGAUGCUGAAAUACAGACGAGCCACCAGACACAGGGCGAUAGUGUUGCUCUUGUCCUCUGUGCAUGCGUGGAGGAGACAUGUUUGUGAAAUGAAGAGGAGGACCUAUUUGCAGCAGAGCUUUGAGCUUUUUCACAGAACCUCUCUGCUCACAUGUUCCUUCACAGCCUGGCACAGCAAGUUAUCUCUGAAAUGUGACGGGGAGAAGGAAAAUCAGCUGAUGCUUAAAGGGGCAUGGUUUCAGAGGUCAGGGGACAGUCUGAGGGUCCAGUCAAGCUAUAGAUUGUGGAAGGCCAGGGUCCAACAGAUCCAGGCUGUACAUGACUUCUACAUAAAAACUCUCAUCAGCAGGGUGUUUGUGGCAUGGGAGGUGUGUGUGCAAUCACGGUUGUCAGCCCAGGCUCAGCUUCGAAAAAGAGUGUAUGGUACAGUUUUCAGCUGGUGGAAAACCAGUACAGCGCAGCACCAGCUGGCCAAUCACUGGAGAACACACACACGGCGGACACACGCAACACUCUGCCUGCGGCACUGGAGCGCAUACACGCAGAAUGCAUUGAGUGUGAGACUCGUACUCCAUGAGCUGGUGGAGGUGAGGAAGAGGAGGAUGAAGAUUGGGGUUCUGCUGAUCUGGUUUGAGGCUUUUGAGAACAGCCAGAGAGCUCAGCACGCACACCGUCUCUCUCUCCUGAAGAGAUGUGUGCAGCAGUGGCUGUCCCAGAGCCAGAAAACUGCUCUUAUGGAGGCUAUCCAAAGAUCAAGAGCCAUCAAAAGCCUACAGACUUCAUUGUGCACAUGGCGGCGACGUCUUCGCACACAGGCGACGAACCUGAGAGCAGCUGUGGGCCGCUGGAGGCAGGUGGUGCUGGAGAGACGGGCGGAGCGGCUCCACACAUCCAGGGUGCAGCUGGCCACUCUGAUGCGGUGGAAGAGCGUCCUGGUUGGGUUGAGGCGUCGCAGGCAAAGCACCCUGACUGCUGCCGGAGUCUGGAGGCAGAGAGCGCUGCACAUCAGAGGUCUACAGGAGAGGGCAGAAGGUUUUCACCAGAGCAGUUUAAAAAGACUGUGGUUCCUCUGCUGGAGAGAUGCGCACCAAAACAGCCUCAACAGCCUUUGUUUUCAUGAUAUGAUGCUGUGUAGAAGGGUUCUUCUGGGUUGGAACAAAUUCACAGAAGCCUCACACAGAAACCAGUACAAGGAGGCAUGGUUCCAGUGCAUCAGGGAGCAGAGGUUGACGGAUGCGUGCUUUGCUCUCUGGCACAGCAGACUGCUGCAGGCUGUCCUCCGACAGAGCGCCCUUGACCUGCACCUCUUUCAGCACAACGUCCAUCUGAAGGCUUGUUCCAUGCAGUGGUGGAGAGUUGCCAGCAGGGGGCAGGCUUUGCUGAAAAGACUCAACAAGGGACUGCUACUAAAGUGUUUUAAAGUGUGGAGAGAGAGGGCUGAAGAAUCGAGGACAAACCAAGAGAGAAGAUGGGCACAAGCUGUCCUCAGUUCCUGGAUGCUGUGGGCUAAAGAGCACCGGGCUCAGAGGCUUAUGGGCGAGGCCAUGCAUUUUUGGAUGGAGGGCAGGAGAGCCUCCAGGGCCUUCCACCAGUGGCACAGAGCACAGAAGCUCCACGUUGAGGCAACCCGACAUGGCGAAGCUCACUUGCUGUUUAGAGCCUUUCAGGCAUGGCGAACAGUUGUAAUGGAGAAUAAACGCCUCUGCCAGAAUGUGCAAACUCGGAUGUGUAUUCUGCACACUCGCGCGGCUUUCAGCAAAUGGCGGAGGGCAGCUAUUUCCCAGCAUGCCCUGCACAUGUUUGUGGUGAAGGUGAAGGUGGCAGAGAGGCAACGUCUGUUGGCUGCUGCGUUCAAGGCGUGGAGGGAGAAGCUCUGUUCCUGUCAGAGACAAUCUGAGCACCUCUGUAGGAAGUUCUUCCAGCGUUGGCUGCAGGAGGUGCAGAGGAGACGGCUGGAGAGAGAGGGUGACAGAGAGUUCAUACUCGGAUGGAGGUAUCUGAAGAUUUGGCACGAGACAGCCCAGGAGAGAGGCUCAGGCCGGAGGCUGACCCAGCAGUACUGGGAGAGGUGGAAGAACCGCGCCGCAGCCUCCCUCAUCUUGUCCACCAUGCACAACCACUCUGUCCUGCAGAAAGCAUGGAUCAUCUGGAGGAAACGGUACAUUAGGUGUCAAGUGGCUGAGACCUGUGCUGCAAAUGUCAAAAGAGAUCUCCUAGCAGAGGUAUUUUCCGUGUGGAGAAAACGAAGCUCACUCUCUUCAGUGCAUCUGCUGCAAUGUGUGACAGAGCCAGCAGAUGGAAAGUGGAGCUGCUGACUCGGUCACACCUCCGCUGUUGGGUUAGUAGUGACCCUCACUACUAAACACUCACCUCACGUACCCACCUGGGCCCAAAAUGCAAAUACUCAGUCAUGCUGGAUAACCUGACCUACCAAUCAGACCCUUUUUCACAUUCAAAAAAGAAAAAGCCACAUUCUGAUUUUAGCUCAUAAAUGAUGCCCAUCCAUGCUACUCAUUUGAAGGUACAUAUUAUAUUAUAUUAUCUCAUUUGUGUGUGUUGGUUGCAGUACCACAAAGGAAAAGCAGUGGUCACAAGUAAGGCCACAGAUUUCUUUGCUUGAAGUUAAUGUAAAAAAUGGGUGUAAAUCAACAUAUUAUAUAUGGCAACAAUUUUAGAUCAUGGGUGUGUAAUAGCUACCGACAUGGGGGUGUUGGUGCAAAGUGUAAGUACAACAUCAGGUCAGACCAUGGUCCAUAUGAGCUGGCACACUCACAACACCGCUGGCACGGAGACAAAGAAAAAGGCUACAGCCAUUGCACAAGUCUUGCUUUCAAACAUGUGAGGAAUUUUAUGCCUGGAAUGAACUCAGUCGCCAGGCAGGAUGAGUCUGUUAGAGGAACAUGUGCAAAUGAACUGUUAUACAUGUUUUCCAAAGUCCAGACAUUUUGAAUGGGAACGAUGGGAGAAAAAAAUACAUUGAUGUGGACACCAACCCCUCCCACUCUCUAACUGCACAGCCCUUAUCAGGAAGUGAAGCUUGCAAACUGUAGUAUGUGAAUAGUUAACUUUCUCUCUGUUUCUAAACAAAAAUAAACAUAAGCUAAUGUUUAUUUUUGUAAAAUAC
rnacentral:lncRNA from 1 species